rnacentral:rRNA from 1 species
AUUGAACGCUGGCGGCAUGCCUUACACAUGCAAGUCGAACGGCAGCAUGGAGAGCUUGCUCUCUGAUGGCGAGUGGCGAACGGGUGAGUAAUGCAUCGGAACGUACCGUGUAAUGGGGGAUAACGUAGCGAAAGUUACGCUAAUACCGCAUACGACCUGAGGGUGAAAGCAGGGGAUCGCAAGACCUCGCGUUAUACGAGCGGCCGAUGUCAGAUUAGCUAGUUGGUGAGGUAAAGGCUCACCAAGGCGACGAGCUGUAGCGGGUCUGAGAGGAGGACCCGCCACACUGGAAGUGAGACACGGCCCAGACUCCUGCGGGAGGCAGCAGUGGGGAAUUUUGGACAAUGGGGGCAACCCUGAUCCAGCCAUGCCGCGUGAGUGAAGAAGGCCUUCGGGUUGUAAGGCUCUUUCGGCCGGGAAGAAAUCGCACAGGCUAAUACUCUGUGUGGAUGACGGUACCGGCAUAAGAAGCACCGGCUAACUACGUGCCAGCAGCCGCCGUAA